rnacentral:rRNA from 1 species
UGCAGUCGACGGCAGCGCGGGGCAACCUGGCGGCGAGUGGCGAACGGGUGAGUAAUAUAUCGGAACGUACCCAAGAGUGGGGGAUAACGUAGCGAAAGUUACGCUAAUACCGCAUACGAUCUAUGGAUGAAAGCAGGGGACCUUCGGGCCUUGUGCUCCUGGAGCGGCCGAUAUCUGAUUAGCUAGUUGGUANGGUAAAGGCNNACCAAGGCCACGAUCAGUAGCUGGUCUGAGAGGACGACCAGCCACACUGGAACUGAGACACGGUCCAGACUCCUACGGGAGGCAGCAGUGGGGAAUUUUGGACAAUGGGCGCAAGCCUGAUCCAGCAAUGCCGCGUGAGUGAAGAAGGCCUUCGGGUUGUAAAGCUCUUUUGUCAGGGAAGAAACGGUGGAGGCUAAUAUCCUCCGCUAAUGACGGUACCUGAAGAAUAAGCACCGGCUAACUACGUGCCAGCAGCCGCGGUAAUACGUAGGGUGCAAGCGUUAAUCGGAAUUACUGGGCGUAAAGCGUGCGCAGGCGGUUUUGUAAGUCUGUCGUGAAAGCCCCGGGCUCAACCUGGGAAUUGCGAUGGAGACUGCAAGGCUUGAAUCUGGCAGAG